GGAGCCUCGAUGCCAAGUUAACCAAUCAAAAUCAGACUUAAUCGUUCCUCAACGACUUUCAGCGCCGUUUUUGAGGUACUAGUAUUUGCAACAUAUGGAAUUUGCUAGUAUUUACAACUGAGAUGGCAGCUGAGAUGGAGUUUUCCCAAACGGUGGCAGGGGAUCAGAUGGAGGUUAACUCUCUUGUUGGAGCUUCCAGAGGUGUACCAGAGUACCAGCCUGUUGUAGUCCCUCCACCACCAGAGGGCAUUGCCACCUUUGACAAGACAGGCCCAAGGUUGAUGAUCACUCACAUUGUAAAUGAAAAUUUUAAGUCAUAUGCUGGUGUGCAAACACUGGGACCUUUC